GCAGUAAUGCCGCACACCAAGUGGCACAUGUGUCCCACUGAUCAAAUGUUAAAAGAUUACAAACUUUUUAUCAAAGAUGGUUACUGUCUCUGAGUGGAGAAACGCUCUCUUUCUGAAGGGCGUGGCGCACUCUCCCGACUGCUCCCUCCGCCUGAGGCAGUCUGAGCCCUUUCCUCACCUAAAUGAAAAGACUACUUGCCAUGUCCCAGGGAAGGGAGGUGAGGGCAGAAUGGCAUGCCUAGGGCCUGGAAGAGGUGAGUGGAAGAAAGAUGGAGAGUCCCAACACCUCACAGUGGAGAGAAUCUGAAAUGGGCGGUUUGGCUAGUCUCCCUAAGUCAUGGAGGUGUCUAAAACUCACCAUGAAAAUACCUGCUGGGGCUGCAACCUAAUCCCCACAGCUGUGUGUGGAGGAAGAGACCUUUAUAAACUUUGGAUAGUUUUUCUUUAGGGCGGACUUGUGGGCAGCAGGCCCGAGAGAGG
rnacentral:lncRNA from 1 species